CCUACGGGUGGCAGCAGUGAGGAAUAUUGGUCAAUGGCCGUAAGGCUGAACCAGCCAAGUCGCGUGAAGGAAGAAGGAUCUAUGGUUUGUAAACUUCUUUUAUAGGGGAAUAAAGGUAUCCACGUGUGGAUCUUUGCAUGUACCCUAUUAAUAAGCAUCGGCUAACUCCGUGCCAGCAGCCGCGGUAAUACGGAGGAUGCGAGCGUUAUCCGGAUUUAUUGGGUUUAAAGGGUGCGUAGGUUGUUUUUUAAGUCAGCGGUGAAAGUUUGUGGCUCAACCAUAAAAUUGCAGUUGAAACUGGAAGACUUGAGUGUGGUUGAGGUAGGCGGAAUGCGUGGUGUAGCGGUGAAAUGCGUAGAUAUCGAGAAGAACUCCGAUGGCGAAGGCAGCUUACUAGGCCAUAACUGACACUGAGGCACGAAAGCGUGGGGAUCGAACAGGAUUAGAUACCCCUGUAGUC
rnacentral:rRNA from 1 species